rnacentral:rRNA from 1 species
UAGGGAAUCUUCGGCAAUGGACGAAAGUCUGACCGAGCAACGCCGCGUGAGUGAAGAAGGUUUUCGGAUCGUAAAACUCUGUUGUUAGAGAAGAACAAGGACGUUAGUAACUGAACGUCCCCUGACGGUAUCUAACCAGAAAGCGACGGCUAACUACGUGCCAGCAGCCGCGGUAAUACGUAGGUGGCAAGCGUUGUCCGGAUGUAUUGGGCGUAAAGCGAGCGCAGGCGGUUUCUUAAGUCUGAUGUGAAAGCCCCCGGCUCAACCGGGGAGGGUCAUUGGAAACUGGGAGACUUGAGUGCAGAAGAGGAGAGUGGAAUUCCAUGUGUAGCGGUGAAAUGCGUAGAUAUAUGGAGGAACACCAGUGGCGAAGGCGGCUCUCUGGUCUGUAACUGACGCUGAGGCUCGAAAGCGUGGGGAGCAAACAGG